rnacentral:rRNA from 1 species
GACGAACGCUGGCGGCGUGCUUAAUACAUGCAAGUCGAACGAUCCCGGGGCUUCGGCCCCAAUGGGAGAGUGGCGAACGGGUGAGUAUCACGUGAGAAACCUGCCCCGGAGACCGGGACAACCAUUGGAAACGAUGGCUAAUACCGGAUGCCCUCAGCUGGCCGCAUGGCCUACUGAGGAAAUGCUCUGGCGCUCUGGGAGGGUCUCGCGGCCUAUCAGCUAGUUGGUGGGUAACGGCCUACCAAGGCAUCGACGGGUAGCUGGUCUGAGAGGACGAUCAGCCACACUGGGACUGAGACACGGCCCAGACUUCUACGGAAGGCAGCAGUGGGGAAUAUUGCGCAAUGGGCGAAAGCCUGACGCAGCAACGCCGCGUGAGGGAUGACAGCUUUCGGGUUGUAAACCUCUUUCAGUGAUGACGAAAAUGACGGUAAUCACAGAAGAAGGUCCGGCCAACUACGUG